rnacentral:tRNA from 1 species
GGGGGUAUAGUUCAGUAGUAGAACACAAGCUUAGCAUGCUUGAAGUCCUGAGUUUGAUUACCAGCCCCCU